AAACUGGGAUUAGAUACCCCACUAUGCUUAGCCCUAAACACAAAUAAUUAUAUUAACAAAAUUAUUCGCCAGAGUACUACCGGCAACAGCCUAAAACUCAAAGGACUUGGCGGUGCUUUAUACCCUUCUAGAGGAGCCUGUUCUAUAAUCGAUAAACCCCGAUAAACCUCACCAGUCUUUGCUAAUACAGUCUAUAUACCGCCAUCUUCAGCAAACCCUAAAAAGGAAUAGAAGUAAGCACAAUCACAUAUACGUAAAAACGUUAGGUCAAGGUGUAACCUAUGGAAUGGGAAGAAAUGGGCUACAUUUUCUAUCUUAAGAAAAUUAUACGAAAGUUAUUAUGAAACUAAUAACCAAAGGAGGAUUUAGUAGUAAACUAAGAAUAGAGUGCUUAGUUGAAUUAGGCCAUAAAGCACGCACACACG
rnacentral:rRNA from 1 species